CUUUUACAGAAAUGAGCUACAGAAGGAAAAGGCAAGCACUGGCAUGCUUGUAAGUGGGACAGAGUGAGAUUCCCUGUGGACCAGACAUUUCUGACAUUGCUUUUAGAGGCUUUCUGCUCCCCCCUCCUGACCCCGCGAAGUGUGGAAGCUGUGUAGCCGGUGGAGGAAGGAUGCAGCGGCAGGAGCUCCCUACUGCACCCUCGCAGUGGCAGCAGCAGGGCAGAGCUGCCUCCAGGGGCUUCUCCUGGCUGUCCCCCUCCAGAGGUGGGACCAGCAAAGCGC
rnacentral:lncRNA from 12 species